rnacentral:rRNA from 1 species
UCGGGAAUAUUGCGCAAUGGAGGAAACUCUGACGCAGUGACGCCGCGUAUAGGAAGAAGGUUUUCGGAUUGUAAACUAUUGUCGUUAGGGAAGAUAAAAGACAGUACCUAAGGAGGAAGCUCCGGCUAACUACGUGCCAGCAGCCGCGGUAAUACGUAGGGAGCAAGCGUUAUCCGGAUUUAUUGGGUGUAAAGGGUGCGUAGACGGGAUAUUAAGUUAGUUGUGAAAUCCCUCGGCUUAACUGAGGAACUGCAACUAAAACUGGUAUUCUUGAGUGUUGGAGAGGAAAGUGGAAUUCCUAGUGUAGCGGUGAAAUGCGUAGAUAUUAGGAGGAACACCGGUGGCGAAGGCGACUUUCUGGACAAUAACUGACGUUGAGGCACGAAAGUGUGGGGAGCAAACA